UCGAUGUAACACUUAUCUCAAUGAAAAGUGUAGAAAUAAAACAAUGAAAUUUAUACUUUCAUUAUAAUAAUAAUGAAAUUUAUACUUACACUCAUGAAGGAACGGAGAUCAGGCACUCACGAUCAGGCACUAAUACUAAAUAAUCCAAACAGCGCGAAAGCGAAGAUUUCACCCUUUGAAAUGUAUCUAAGAACACCAUUUUACAGUUUUUUUGUUAACAAAGUUACGGUAUUUUGAAUUUCAGAAUUCCAUUCGGAAGUGAAUUCAAGGUGCUAUAAAAUGGCAAACAAAAAUCAUAGAUCAAUAUUUUCGGGUUCAUUCGAAAGGGGAGACUUCAUUCAUUAAAAUAAUUGUGAUUGCGUUUGCCAAACAAUUUUUUGAACCACUCAGACCUAUGCGAAUAUGAGAAAUCGACAGGACGGAACCAUUUUUAUUUACAGUGCGGGGUAUUAACGAAAUAAAAUUUAUAAAGCAGAA